rnacentral:rRNA from 1 species
UACGUAGGCAGCGAGCGUUGUUCGGAGUUACUGGGCGUAAAGGGUGUGUAGGCGGUUGCUUAAGUUUGGUGUGAAAUCUCCCGGCUCAACUGGGAGGGUGCGCCGAAUACUGAGUGACUCGAGUGCGGGAGAGGAGAGUGGAAUUCCUGGUGUAGCGGUGAAAUGCGUAGAUAUCAGGAGGAACACCGGUGGUGUAGACGGCUCUCUGGACCGUAACUGACGCUGAGGAGCGAAAGCGUGGGGAGCGAACAGG